UUUUAUUGAUUUUUUUUUUUUUUUUUGGUCACCGUUUUAAUACGAUGAAACAAGGAAAAUGAUGCUAUUUCAUGAUUUACACGUAUGUACUCCACAGGGCUUCCUCCAGUCUCAAUCAUCCUCUGCCAUCACUUGAGGCAGAAUAGGGCACUUAUCACACAUUCCUUUAAAAAUGCAAGGUUGACAAGGACAGCAAUUGAACAGAUGAAGUGUGGGAUGACUUUGUGGAGCUGCCAUACCAGAAGUGGACUGCCAGCUUCAGACAUUAUAUGUCUAAGUUGAUCAGUUCAGACUGGAAAGACGACCCUGCUUCACACAAUCUCUCAGGGCAUUAGAGUAAAGGUGCGACUCACGGCCCACCACUAACACAAAUUGCAAAGGGUUUCUCCUACUUCGAAAAGAACCACCUGGUUGUUCACAAGAUAUCCUUUGGAUAUUUAGGAAUACUUCAAAGAAUAGUCAGUGUGACUCAUGAACAGAUCAAAAAAUAGAUUAAAAACAAAAACUAACUUCUAAGUAUUAUAGAUAUGGAAUGCCUGGAUUUAGAAGGGAGAAACAUUUUUGGCUAAUGAAUAAAGAAUUAAUUAAAGGGU